UACAGAGGUCUCGAGCGUUAGGCGGAAUCACUGGGCUUAAAGCGUGUGUAGGCGGACUGGUAAGUACCUUGUGAAAUCCCACGGCUCAACCGUGGAACUGCUUGGUAUACUGCUUGUCUUGUGCAACCUAGGGCGAGCGGAACAGAUGGUGGAGCGGUGAAAUGCGUAGAUAUCGCUUGGAACGCCGAAGGUGAAAACAGGCUGCUGGGGUUGCGCCGACGCUGAGACACGAAAGCCAGGGGAGCAAACGGG
rnacentral:rRNA from 1 species